rnacentral:rRNA from 1 species
CCUACGGGGCGCAGCAGUGAGGAAUAUUGGUCAAUGGGAGAGAUCCUGAACCAGCCAAGCCGCGUGAGGGAAGACGGCCCUAUGGGUUGUAAACCUCUUUUGUCGGAGAACAAAACCCGGGACGUGUCCCGGACUGCGUGUAUCCGAAGAAAAAGCAUCGGCUAACUCCGUGCCAGCAGCCGCGGUAAUACGUAGGGGGCAAGCGUUAUCCGGAUUUACUGGGUGUAAAGGGAGCGUAGACGGCAGGGCAAGUCUGGAGUGAAAGCCCGGGGCCCAACCCCGGGACCGCUUUGGAAACUGCUAUG